CUUUUCUAUUUAAUUCAUCUAAAGCUCCCAGAAGUACUCAUGUCACUUUUGAUUGGUCUUCAAUUGUCUUUGCUCUCUAACACAUCAGUUUUUUUUAUUUUUCUACUCCCCCAAACUGUCAAGUUGUUAAUGAUCUAUAAAUAUUCACUUUCACGGCUUAAAGGAAUUCACUCUUAAAUAAAUCUCAUAGGAAAUCUUUUCUUAACAUAAAAAAGUUCUUUGUAAAUCAUUCUAGUUAAUUUUUUUAUACACCCCAGUUCUUAAAUCAAACUUGAAUAAUUAGGAGAUCACAAUGUGGAUGUGGUACUUUUCAUAAUGGCACCAUUGUGUAGUCACUUGGAUCGACACACGUGGGCCUGGGGAAGGCGACUCAGAGCAGCUCCCAUUCACCCACCUCUCACCCUCCCGAGACCACAGAUCAGUGUCCUUUCCACCGGAUGGUUCGAAACUUGGUCUGGACUCUACUCAGAUCCAGGAAAAGAUUCUGUGCAGAGACCUGGGAUAAUCUCAACCCACACAGCAAUGGCCAGCGGCAGCAACCUCAGCCAGUUUUCUGGAGAGUCUGUUUAUGUGACUUACCUUUGGGCCUCUGUGCCCCCUACUCUAAGCCUAUUUCUUACCAGCUUCUCUCUUUGUAUCAGAUUCACAGGCAUUACUGAGGCUGCAGCACAAUUAAUUUUAAAGUAGGCACAACUAAGGCCCUCGGCCUCAAUCUCCAAACAGAUGGUAGCUGUAUUUAAGAACAAAAUUUGAGUCAUUAUCAAAUACAUGUGCAACUGGAGGCAGUUAAUU
rnacentral:lncRNA from 1 species